ensembl:lncRNA PCA3 prostate cancer associated 3
AGCAGCAAGAGAUUAGUCUUUGAGAACAACACUCUCCAUCUCAUUCUGUCCUUCCCGUACCGAUCUCCUAAAAGCUACACCAGGACCCACCUACCUUCUGAGGAUGAGAGGAGGCUUUCUAACGGAGGGUGAGAAGGAUGCACGACUACAGCUCUUCAGCAUCUCUCUUCUGAGCAGUUAACUGGAAAUACAGAUUCGCCUCCAUUUUCUGGUCACAUGAUCUCUGGCACAUCUAAAUAAGGAUGAUCACCUGCCUCCCAGAUCUCCCCAUGCAGCCGCUGUGGCUAGGGGGCACAGCUGGGGCUGUGCUGAGUUUCAUUUGGGAAUAUACGAUACCCUUUCACCCACGUUGUGGAGUCAAAAAUGCUCUUUAAUUUUUAUGUCAGUUGAGGAAAACUGCUGCUACUCCUGCUCCCGAGUGAGACUGGAUGUGAAUGGGCUCAAAGCACAAGUUGUAAGGAAUUUAGUUCUCUUGAAACCUCUUUUUAAAAAAAAAUCCUGUAGUUUCACAGCACAUACCUAUAUGACAGCAAUGUAAUUAUUUUCAUUGAAUGAACAAUGGUUAAGAUCAUAAUAAAAUGGACUGUGGAAGCAUAGCAGGAUUCAUAAGGAAGUCCAGCUUCGGUCCUAGAGAAAGUUAGGAUGCUUGUCUAAGAUCAGUACGACUUCAGCGACUGGGAGAAAAAGGGGUGUGGAAGUUAACCUGUGGACCCUGCAGUCACAAGGCCAAGUUCAAAGCUGAUUUCUACCACUUAUUAGCAAGUGUGGACGUUACUAAACCUCAUGGCACCUUAAGACUGCUCAUUUACAGAAUGGACAGUAAUCAUGAUGUUCUUUAAAAAUGGUAAGAUAGCCGGGUGUGGUGGCACGUGCCUGGAGUCCCAGCUACUCAGGAGGCUAAGGCAGGAGAAUCUUGAACCCAGGAGAUGGAGGUUGCAGUGAGCCGAGAUUGCAUCGCUGCAUUCCACACUCCAGCGCUGGCAACAGAGUGAGACUCCCUCCACCCCCUCCCCCCCUCCAAAAAAAAAAAAGUUCUGGAAGACGGAAAGUCCAAGAUCAAGAUCCUGACAUACUCGCUGUCUGAUGAGCACCUGCCUCCUGAUUCAUAGGCUGCCAUCUUUUUGCUGUGUCCUCACGUGACAGAAAAGGUGAGGUUCUCUCUGAGGUCUCUUUUAUAAGGGCAAUAAUCCCACUCAUGGGGGCUCUGGCCCCAUGACAUGAUCACCUCCCAAAGGCUCCACUUCCUAAUACUAUCAUUUUGGGGAUUUGGAUUUUAACAUAUGAAGUUUGGGGCAACACAAACAUUCAGACCGGCGAGUAGGGAGAAAAUAAAGCACUUCUUUGUACAUGACUUCAUUCUUGGGCUUCCUAGUAUUCCAGUACCUGAACAUGGCAGCAGAAGAGGUCUAAAUGGAAGCAAUUAUUGUAUUAUCUAUUGCCUCAUACAGGUUUUGAGAACCACAAGCCUUCCUACCCUCCACACUGACCCGGGAAAGGUGGGGCCACUCUAUGUGGUGCAGCAUCCUUCUUUAUGGGACAGUAUAAGAUGGUAAAUGGAGAGGCUACCCCAUUUCUGUUCGCACACAGUUCUGCUGUCAUCAACAGCAGCCAAGUUCUUUUCGUGUGUAGCUGUAUUCCUUCUUGAUGAGAUAAAACUAAGAAAUGUGCUCAAUUGUAGCCUUGCUGUAUAGAAAGCACAAGAGGCUACCUUGUACCUUCUCUUCCUUAUUUACAGGUUAGAGUCUAUUUAUUAGUAAGCUGCCAGGUUGAUGAGUCAAGGAAUUAUGAAGCUCUGGCAGUUGCUUGCCUCCAGCCCCAUC